CACAACCUCAUCUGUUCUUUCUUCUCCUUCAUUCUUUUCUUAAGAGAAAACCCUAAAUCCCCUUUUUACUCAAACAAUCAGCCACAACCUUCAUAUCCUCUUCAAAACACACAACAACAAUGGUUGCUCUCACACACAGAGCUUCAUCUACUCCCUACUCUCACUCUACUCUCUCUCUCUCUGAUCAAACGGUCGGCCACCGUUCGGUGGUGGCGGCGCUCAAACACAGCGACAGCAGCCGAGACAUACGACGAUGGGGGUGGGGGUGUAUGGUGGGGUUGGGUGGCGUCGUAAGGCGGAGAAGGAGCGGCUGCCCCGACAAACCUCCGACCGGCCCGACAGAGCCGAUGAUGAAGAUGUUAUGUUGCUGUUGAUGAUAAUGAUGGUGAUGUUGUUGUUAAUGACGAUGACGAUGUUGAAUUCAAAUUCCGGUAGCCGCAAGAACACUCAGGUUAGCCGAUUUUUUUUUCUGUUAUUUGUUCUUUUUUUCCUUCGGUUCUAUAGAGUGAUAACAUGGUUCUCUUGCAUUUUGGUUUUGGGUUUUUGCGUGGUGUCGUCUCAAGUGGGUUCUCACGAAGACUGGCAAGCGAAGAUGAAUUGUUGAUUAUUGAUGUUAAUGGCUGAUGGUGGAUGUUGUCGAGGAUCAACUUGAGUUAUGUUUCGGGUUACAGAACUCCGGUUCGGUUGAUGGUUCGGGUUCCGGUUCAGCAAGUUCGAGUUUUGUUUUGAUUCGAGUGUUACCAGAGAUCAAUCGUGCUUUAGUUCUCUGGAAUAUUUUGUUUUCAGCUACGUUUCGGGUCAAACCCGUUUAACUUAGUCAACCCCCGAGUCAACUCGGGUCAACAACGGUCAAACAUGUCAAACUCAGUCAACUCAAAGAACCGGAAUGUCAUAGGUGCACGCUAGCUAAUUCACUUUCUUGGAACGACACUCCGGAAUCACGCUAAGCUAGCUUUGCACAGGAACAUCAAGGUGAGUUCAUAACCCCCACUUUUUACUGUUUUACAUUUUUAUAAAUGUUUUCGGGGGUGGAAAGACAUGCAAAUUUUUGCAAAAGC